rnacentral:rRNA from 1 species
UACGUAGGGUGCAAGCGUUGUCCGGAAUUAUUGGGCGUAAAGAGCUCGUAGGCGGUUUGUCGCGUCUGCUGUGAAAACUCGGGGCUUAACUCCGGGCCUGCAGUGGGUACGGGCAGACUAGAGUGCGGUAGGGGAGACUGGAAUUCCUGGUGUAGCGGUGAAAUGCGCAGAUAUCAGGAGGAACACCGGUGGCGAAGGCACCACUCUGGGCCGUAACUGACGCUGAGGAGCGAAAGCAUGGGGAGCGAACAGG